UGGGGAAUAUUGCACAAUGGGGGAAACCCUGAUGCAGCAACGCCGCGUGAGCGAUGAAGGCCUUCGGGUUGUAAAGCUCUGUCUUCGCUGACGAUAAUGACGGUAAGCGAGGAGGAAGCCACGGCUAACUACGUGCCAGCAGCCGCGGUAAUACGUAGGUGGCAAGCGUUGUCCGGAAUUACUGGGCGUAAAGGAUGCGUAGGCGGCCUCUUAAGUGGGAUGUGAAAUGCCGGGGCUUAACCCCGGAGGUGCAUUCCAUACUGGGAGGCUAGAGUGCAGGAGAGGAAAGCGGAAUUCCCAGUGUAGCGGUGAAAUGCGUAGAGAUUGGGAGGAACACCAGUGGCGAAGGCGGCUUUCUGGACUGUAACUGACGCUGAGGCAUGAAAGUGUGGGGAGCAAACAGG
rnacentral:rRNA from 1 species